CAAUACACCUUCUAACGUGUUACGGAGGUCCUCCCAUAGAGCUGAUAUAACUGCUGGCUGUAGUCCACAAGCAUUUGAAUAACCCUCUAAUGUAUUUCCGGCUAAGCUAGCUACAGCUAGGAGUUCGGUUCGUAGCGUAGCAAUCCUACCAGCUGCAGCUGCAGGUAGGGUAAAUUCCGGGUUAUUCAUAGCCUGAAAGAUAUUAUACAAGAAUUAAUGUUUUUAUCUAUUUAUAUAAAAUAGUAUAAACCAUAAAUCAGCUGGUUAGUAAAAUUUAUUACAGUAGUAUAUAAUAAAUCUCUCUCAAGUUGGAGGUAAACAAUAGUUAAAUUUUGUGUGGAAAGUUUAGUGUAAACAUAUUAAUUUAUUUAUACUUAAUUUCUCUUUAAAGGAUACCUACCCUUUGAAUUAACCUCCUGCGAAAGGUUUCAAGGCGAGCGCUCUGCCGGCAGCUGCGACAUUCACGUGUUUCAGGUUGUAUAUGUUGGGGAGAUUGUGAUGGACCGGCUAAUUCAUCAGCUGUUGGCCGCUGUCUAGCAACAUCAGCUGGAGUAUUCACUGUUGAAGGUGUUUGGGAUAUAGCUGAAGUUGAAGGUUGUACUCGUCUGGAAGGUUGGGAUGGUCCAGCUAAUUCAUCAGCUGUUGCUGUCUGCUGUCUAGCAACACCAGCUGGGGUAUUCACUGUUGAAGGUGUCUGGGAUAUAGCUGAAGUUGAAGGUUGUACUCGUCUGGAAGGUUGGGAUGGUCCAGCUAAUUCAUCAGCUGUUGCUGUCUGCUGUCUAGCAACACCAGCUGGGGUAUUCACUGUUGAAGGUGUCUGGGAUAUAGCUGAAG